GCUUUCCUUCAGCUCAGUCAGCAGAACAUUGCACUUGCAAAGCAAAGAUCAUUGGUUCAAAUCCCCAGGGAAAGCA